rnacentral:rRNA from 1 species
UACGAAGGGGGCUAACGUUGUUCGGAAUUACUGGGCGUAAAGGGCGCGUAGGCGGCCAUUCAAGUUAGGUGUGAAAGCCCUGGGCUCAACCUAGGAAUUGCACUUGAUACUGUUUGGCUUGAGUUCGGGAGAGGUGAGUGGAAUUCCCAGUGUAGAGGUGAAAUUCGUAGAUAUUCGCAAGAACACCAGUGGCGAAGGCGGCUCACUGGCCCGAUACUGACGCUGAGGCACGAAAGCGUGGGGAGCAAACAGG